UACGUAGGUGGCAAGCGUUGUCCGGAUUUACUGGGCGUAAAGAGCGCGCAGGCGGUCGUUCAAGUCGCGUGUGAAAGCCCCCCGGCUCAACUGGGGAGGGUCACGCGAUACUGAUCGACUCGAAGGCAGGAGAGGGUAGUGGAAUUCCCGGUGUAGUGGUGAAAUGCGUAGAUAUCGGGAGGAACACCAGUGGCGAAGGCGACUACCUGGCCUGUUCUUGACGCUGAGGAGCGAAAGCGUGGGGAGCGAACAGG
rnacentral:rRNA from 1 species